AAUUAUCAGAGUACAGCAUGUAGAAGAGUUUACAUUUCUUACAACAUAACAUUAUCGCAUCACACAUUACAACAAAAAACAUAUUAUUUAAUUUAUUAAAACUCGCAGCGGACAACAACAAAAUAUUAACGUUCGCCAUAUAACCGUUCGUAAUACUGUUCAAUCAUCAUCUCAACAUAAUCGUCAUCAUAAACAAUGUAAAUAAUAAUAUAAUUUAUCUAUCGAAUCCAUAAUCCCCGGUGUCACAUGACCCAGCAUUUGACUCGACUCUGUAGAAUAACUCUACCCUUAUUCUUCAAACUCAACAAUAGCUACUCCGCUUUAUCUGCACAUUGCUCAUCAUAAUGAACAUAAAC
rnacentral:lncRNA from 1 species